GACGAACGCUGGCGGCGUGCUUAACACAUGCAAGUCGAACGGAAAGGCCCUGCUUUUGUGGGGUGCUCGAGUGGCGAACGGGUGAGUAACACGUGAGUAACCUGCCCUUGACUUUGGGAUAACUUCAGGAAACUGGGGCUAAUACCGGAUAGGAGCUCCUGCUGCAUGGUGGGGGUUGGAAAGUUUCGGCGGUUGGGGAUGGACUCGCGGCUUAUCAGCUUGUUGGUGGGGUAGUGGCUUACCAAGGCUUUGACGGGUAGCCGGCCUGAGAGGGUGACCGGCCACAGUGGGACUGAGAUACGGCCCAGACUCCUUCGGGAGGCAGCAGUGGGGAAUAUUGCGCAAUGGGCGGAGGCCUGAUGCAGCACCGCCGCGUGCGGGAUGACGGCCUUCGGGUUGUAAACCGCUUUCGCCUGUGACGAAGCGUGAGUGACGGUAAUGGGUAAAGAAGCACCGGCUAACUACGUG
rnacentral:rRNA from 1 species